GGGCGCUUGGCACAGUGGUAGCGCGCAUGCUUUGCAUUGAUGAUAGGAGUCCGUGCCUGCAAUGUGCAUGAGGUCGGGAGUUCAAUCCUCCCAGAGUCCA